rnacentral:rRNA from 1 species
CCUACGGGCGGCAGCAGUGGGGAAUAUUGGACAAUGGGGGCAACCCUGAUCCAGCCAUGCCGCGUGUGUGAAGAAGGCCCUCGGGUUGUAAAGCACUUUCAGUGAGGAAGAACGCCUGGUGGUUAAUACCCAUCAGGAAAGACAUCACUCACAGAAGAAGCACCGGCUAACUCCGUGCCAGCAGCCGCGGUAAUACGGAGGGUGCGAGCGUUAAUCGGAAUUACUGGGCGUAAAGCGCGCGUAGGUGGCUUGAUAAGCCGGUUGUGAAAGCCCCGGGCUCAACCUGGGAACGGCAUCCGGAACUGUCAAGCUAGAGUGCCGGAGAGGAAGGUAGAAUUCCCGGUGUCGCGGUGAAAUGCGUAGAGAGCGGGAGGAAUACCAGUGGCGAAGGCGGCCUUCUGGACUGACACUGACACUGAGGUGCGAAAGCGUGGGUAGCAAACAGGAUUAGAUACCCGUGUAGUC